UACGAAGGGGGCGAGCGUUGUUCGGAUUUACUGGGCGUAAAGCGCACGUAGGCGGCUUCUUAAGUCGGUGGUGAAAUCCUGGAGCUCAACUCCAGAACUGCCUUCGAUACUGGGAAGCUCGAGUCCGGGAGAGGUGAGUGGAACUGCGAGUGUAGAGGUGAAAUUCGUAGAUAUUCGCAAGAACACCAGUGGCGAAGGCGGCUCACUGGCCCGGUACUGACGCUGAGGUGCGAAAGCGUGGGGAGCAAACAGG
rnacentral:rRNA from 1 species